rnacentral:rRNA from 1 species
GUAGUCAUAUGCUUGUCUCAAAGAUUAAGCCAUGCAUGUCUAAGUAUAAAUAACUUUAUAUUGUGAAACUGCGAAUGGCUCAUUAAAUCAGUUAUGAUCUACGUGACAAAUUCUUUACUACUUGGAUAACCGUGGUAAUUCUAGAGCUAAUACAUGCAAAAAAGCCCUGACUCACGAAGGGGUGCACUUAUUAGAUAAAACCAACGCGGGGUAAAACCUGUUUCGUGGUGAAUCAUAAUAAUUAAGCGGAUCGCAUGGCCUUGAGCCGGCGACGGUCCACUCGAUUUUCUGCCCUAUCAUGGUUGAGAUUGUAAGAUAGAGGCUUACAAUGCCUAUAACGGGUAACGGGGAAUUAGGGUUCGAUUCCGGAGAGGGAGCCUGAGAAACGGCUACCACAUCCAAGGAAGGCAGCAGGCGCGCAAAUUACCCAAUCCCGACACGGGGAGGUAGUGACAAUACAUAACAAUGCAGGGCCUUUACGGUCUUGCAAUUGGAAUGAGUACAAUUUAAAUCCCUUAACGAGGAUCAAUUGGAGGGCAAGUCUGGUGCCAGCAGCCGCGGUAAUUCCAGCUCCAAUAGCGUAUAUUAAAGUUGUUGCAGUUAAAACGUCCGUAGUCAAACUUUAGUCUUACCGGCGCGGUGGCCUGGUCUUCAUUGAUCAAGCUCGCUGUCGCUGGAGACUCCACGUCCGCUGGCUCCUAGUCCUCGUGGCUAGGGUUUUGUGGACAAUUACCAUGAGCAAAUCAGAGUGUUUAAAGCAGGCUUUUAAGCUUGAAUGUGUUAGCAUGGAAUAAUGAAAUAUGACUUUAGUCCUAUUUUCGUUGGUUUAGGUACUAUAGUAAUGAUUAAUAGAAACGGUUGGGGGCAUUUGUAUUUGGCCGCUAGAGGUGAAAUUCUUGGAUUGGCCGAAGACAAACUACUGCGAAAGCAUUUGACCCAGGACGUUUUCAUUGAUCAAGGUCUAAAGUUAAGGGAUCGAAGACGAUUAGAUACCGUCGUAGUCUUAACCACAAACUAUGCCGACUAGAGAUUGGGCGUGUUUCUUUUGACUCGCUCAGCAUCUUAGCGAAAGUAAAGUUUUUGGGUUCUGGGGGGAGUAUGGGACGCAAGGCUGAAACUUAAAGGAAUUGACGGAAG